rnacentral:rRNA from 1 species
CGACGUGAGGAACCUGCCUUGGAGUGGGGAAUAACAGUUAGAAAUAGCUGCUAAUACCGCAUAAUGCAGCGAAGUCGCAUGGCUUUGCUGCCAAAGAUUUAUCGCUCUGAGAUGGCCUCGCGUCUGAUUAGAUAGUUGGCGGGGUAACGGCCCACCAAGUCGACGAUCAGUAGCCGGACUGAGAGGUUGGCCGGCCACAUUGGGACUGAGACACGGCCCAGACUCCUACGGGAGGCAGCAG